CCCUGAGUAAUUUUUGGUUUACGCUGAAGAAGACUUGGCUGAAAGGCUGAGCGGUGUUCCUGAGGGGCUGGCUUUCCCCCUUUACAUCACCUAGGCACACAAGUGCAGUGGGAGCGAGUUUGAAUCACUUCAGAGGUUGUGGAACUCCAGUAAGCAGGCUGGCAAGGCUAUUUCAUUCACUUUAAACAUUGGAUGAAGUGAUUCUUUUCUCUAAUACAGAUAAUGCUGAAGCGAGAGACUGAGCCCCCAAGACAG